UUUUUCUUAGUUUCUAACUUUUCAGAAUUCUCAUAUUUGUUUCCUGAUUUGUUACAAAAUAUGUUCUUCUUUAUUUUAUUCAUAUGAUUUGUUUCCAAUUCUAUUUCUAUGAUAUUGUAGAUUUUAUUCUCUAAUUUAUUCUACUUACACUUCGUUUCCCUUUUGAUUUAGAGAAGAAACAUGGAAUUUCAUUAAUAAGGCUCACUCACAUCAACAUACAUUUCUAUGAGACUUGUGUGUCAAUGCAACAAACACUUAUCAGAUUGUUGUAGGUGCAGUUGGCUCUAGAAGGGGUGUUGAUGGAGAUGUGCCUUCAUAGUUUUCGGAUUUUGUUGGUGAUUGGCGGAAGCAUCAUGGAUUGAAGAUGAAGCAAGGUCCUCCUAAGAGUGGUGGUGACCUUGAAGGUGCAUGAGAGGUAAGAAUUGAGAGUAGUGAGGCCAACUGAUGGAAGAGGGCCAAGCACAACCUUUCAUGAAAGGCAAGAGCCAAGUCAAGAACGUCCAAGAUCAAGCUAGGAGUGUCUAAGACCAAACUAGGAGCGUCUAAGACAAGCUAGGAGCGUCUAGGACAAGAAGACCAAGCUAAGAGCGUCUAGGACAAGCUAGGAGUGUCUAAGAAGACUUAGAUCAAGCUAUGAAUGGGAGAGUGGCGUACUAGCACAUAUUCCGUGAAGGCCCAACAAGUGUAGUUUAGCUUUAAUUGGGGUGUAAAUAGCAUAGUCAUGUGGACAAAUGUUUAUUUUUCUGCACAUUAGAAUUAAGGAGGAGUUAACCUUGAUUAGCUAAAGGUUUCUAGAAGCCUUCACUAAUUAAGGGAAGGUUUUAUGAAGCCAUGUGCACCCAUGUGCUCCAUGUGCUCCAUGUGCCCAUGUGCCCAUGUGCCUCCACAUUUCCAUUUCAUUUUGCUUACAUUUCAUGUGCACUUAGCUUAACAUUUACGGCCUCCUUAGCCUAUAAAAGGAGAUGCCUAACACUUGUAUUUGCAAGAUUAAUGAGAGUAAUGUUAUGCUGCCCACAUUGUGCCACACAUUGCUUUUGCCUAGUUUCUAGGACCUAAUCUUCAUCUUCAUCACCUACCAUAGGGCUGGCCGAACCUCCCUCUUUCCAUACACAUCAUACACCUUCAAGAUCACCAUAGCUCCUAGGAGGAUCUUGCACAUCUCAAUCCAUAGCUUCUGCACCAUUAUUCACAACAUCCAAGAAGAGCUCCAUGAGAAUGCCAUCAUUUGGUAUCAUGAGCAUUAGGGGUGGCAAAGCGGGCCAGCCCGCCCCGCGCUUGGCCCGCAAAAAUGCGGGACAGGUUGGCCCGCCACGCAAAAUUAUUGCGGGCUAGAAUUCCCGACCCGCUCCGCAUAAGAGCUGGCCCGCGAGUUUGCGGGCCAGCCCGCAUUCUUUUUUAUUUUAAUUUUUUUUUACAUUUUGUUCUUAAAAAAUUGUCAAAUUAAACCUAUAUAUUUGUUACUAUCAAACCUAAUUUUUUUUUCUUCCUUUUCAAACAUAGUCAAACAUCAAAACAUUAAAUAUUAAGAUAAAUAUCAAAUAUCACUAUUCUUCCACUUUCAAAAUAUUAAAAAUACCUAAUUCUAAAACAUUAAACAUAAACAUAAACAUUAAUUCAAAAACAUUAAACAUAAACAUUAUUGACAUUCUUCCAUUUCAACAACAUUGGAUGUCGCCUUAGAAAAACUUUCAUCCAUUUUUUUUCUUGCGGGUUAGUGGGCCAGCCCGCCCCGCCCGGCUGUUGGCCCGCGCGGGCCGCGGGUCGGCCCGCACGGCCCGCCCCGCUUUGCCAUCCCUAAUGAGCAUAGGUUCUUCAAAGAUGAGUAGUUCUUGGUCAUUUUCAUUUUGAGUUGUUCUUUAUUUCAUGUUGUUCAUCUUGUUUUCAUAUUUGUCUUGCUGUUAUUAAUUUUUACUUUGAUUUGGUGUGCUAUUUGGAAAUUCCAAUCGGUGCACCUUGUUCAAUUGAUCUUGAGCAAUCCUUGUGCAAUUUUUGGUAGGAUUCCAUACACCUUUGAGUUGUUGUUUUUAUUUUAGGUAUUUGAGUCCUUAUUGCAAUUUUAUUUGGUUCAUUUUUAUGCUCUUUGAGUCUUUUAAUGUCUGAAUCUAUAUGUGUUUUGUCUAGUCAUGUUUUUCCAAAAUGUCAUCAAAUCAUAAGUAGUACUUUGUUUGGCUUAUUUGUUUCUUGAUUUUGGUCUAAAUAUUUGUUUUGAAUCUGCUAUGUUUUUGAUCUUUUGGUGCCUUUUAUUUUUAGCUUGAGUUCAUAUUUGUGUUUAAAUCUACACAAAUUCCUUUUCAUCAAUUCCAUUGUGUUUGUCUUUUGGUAUCUUGCUGUUUUUUUUUUCCAGUUUUUUACAGAAUCCCCUAUUUUACAUAACUCUGUGCUGGCUGUUUUGUUUAAGAAAAUUAUUUUCCCACAUAGGAAAUUUCUGAUUCUCUGGAUUAUGCAAGAUUGAGGUGUUACAGAAAAGACAAAAAAAAAAAAGAAUAAGCUCAAAAGAGUCAAUAGAAAAAAAAUGAUAAAUAUUAUAAAAACAGUGUGCAAAUCUGGACGCUACAGUUGGCGUAACUGAACACUGAUUUUGAAAAAUUUAUUAAAAACAAAUGGUUCAUGCGUUUGGAGUGAAACCAACGCCAGAUUUGAGUUACGAUCUUGAAUUAUUUGCAUAUAAAUUUUCAGAAGCAAAUCUUAAAAGGAUAGCUCAGCAUAAAUCGGGGAAAAUCACGUUCUCUGGCCCACAACAAUUUUUCAGUGGUGCUUUUUUUGAUUUUGAAAUCUAUUCUAGUGCUAUUCUUAGGAUCCAUUUUGUGUGCCUACCUUUAUUUGAGUACCUUUAUUUGCUUGUCUAAUAUUUUCUUUGGAACUCUUUCUAGUUGUCAUAAUUUAACUCCAUUUGUGUGGUACUGUUUUUUUCAAUUAAAUUGUUUCUUGCUUUAAUUCUUUGGUCUCUAAAUUUGGUGCUGGAAUUGAUUCUCAAUUGGUGCUUAUUUGAGUGGAAAUUUGACUUGAGUGAGGUCUAGUUUUCUUGAUAGGUGUUGGAAUUGGAGAAUUAAGUCCCUAAUUCUAAAAGGAACAAAGGCAAGGGCAGAAACAAUUACUUACCAAAACAGACACUUGGAGGGCCCAACAAAGAAAAGACAACCAAGGAAGUGUCAAUAACAAAAAAAAGAUCAACAAAGGGAGUUUUCUUAAUUUUCUUUGCAACUUAACUUUUGUUAAUUACUUAUUUAAUUACGUGAUUAGAUGGUAAGUGUGUCUUCAAGGGCUCCAAGUGUUCAAGAAGCCUCACCUAGGGCCGACUAGUGUAGAGUUUUCUAAUUAGCAAUUGUUAAUUGUUUUUAAUUGCAUUUCCUUGCCUAAUUAGCUACGCUUUUCAUUUGUGUUGCCUUGUUUAAUCUUUGCUAAAUCUUCUUGCUUGGUUAAUUAGUUAGCUUGCAUUGUUUUCUUGCAUUAAAAUCUGAUUUCUCAACUUAAUUGUGUUCUAAGUGGUUUACUAAGAGAAAACUUUGUGUGAAGACAUUGAGGGAUAGUUUUUUGCUAAGGCAAAGGCUUGGUAUUUAAGUAGUCCUUUGUGACUCACCUCCCUUACCUGGAAAACUACCUUCUUUGACUUUCCUAAAUUUUCUCAAGGUAAAAUACUUGUAUACACAAAGCGUUAGCCAUGUCUUCUUCUCCUCACUCUCCAAAGUCUAUUGAAAGUGAAGUAAAAUCUAUAAAAACUUUUUUGAAAGAAGUUUCACAAGCUGUGCAAAUGAUUUCUUUUAGACAAUUGGAGAAUGAGACUAAAAUUAAUGAGUUGACUAGAGCCCAAGAAGAGAAGUCACAAAAAUAAAAAAAAUCUCAUAGUCAUGCAUCUAAAAGUAAUGAGUAUCUAGGGGAGGGGAGCCUUAGAAUCAAUGAUUACUACCAACCAACCCCUAGGAGAAAUAGAAGAAGAGAGGAAGAGUGCCCAAGGGAAGUAAGGGUAGACCUACCCCAUUUCUAUGGUAAGGAAGAUGUAGAGGUAUACCUAGAUUGGGAGAUGAAAGUAGAGCAACUCUUUGCUUGCCAUAGGGUGAGUGAAGAAAGGAAGGUACCCUUAGCAACCCUUAGUUUCCAAACAAUGCCAUGUAUUGGUGGACCUCUCUAGACAGAGACCGACGUCUUCAUAGGGAACCUCCCAUAGAAUAUUGGAAUGACCUUAGGGGAGCCCUAAGACGUCGCCACAUACCUUCCUACUACCAUAGGGAGUUAAUGGACAAGCUCCAAAGACUCCAACAAAAGAACAUGAGUGUGGAAGAGUAUAGGCAGAAAAUGGAGCUCUACAUGAUGAGAGCAUCCAUUAGAGAGGAAGAAACCACCACCAUAUCUAGGUUUCUAAGUGGGCUCAACCUUGAGAUAAGGGAUAGAGUAGAACUUCUACCCUACCAAGACUUGAAUGACUUGGUUCAACUUUGCAUUAAAGUUGAACAACAAAAUUUGCGCAAAACUUCAAGACAAAGGGUGGGUUCUUACUCCAACUUUUAUCCCAAGAAAGACUUUAAAAGGGAGGGUAGCACAUCUAGAGACGAACCCAAAGAAACUACCAAACCUUUAGUGAAAGAUGCCUCCACCCCAUCCAUUCGUGUUAGGGACACCAAGUGUUUUAAGUGUUUUGGAAGAGGACAUGUGCAAGCGCAAUGUCCAAACCAAAGGGCUUUGUUCUUAAAAGGAAAAGAUGAGUACACUAGUGGUGAGGAUGAACCUAGUACACAAGAAAAGGGGGAAGGACAAAGAAUAAAUCCUUUGGAGGGGGACUUAUUGAUGAUUCAAAGAAUCCUCCACAAUCAACCUAGUGCAUCCAUCGAGACACAACGAGAGAACAUCUUUCAUACUAGAUGCAAUGUUUUAGAAAAUAUAUGCUCUCUUAUUAUGGAUGGUGGAUCAUGCUGCAAUUGCUGUAGCACUAGAUUGAUUAAGAAACUAAAUCUACAAGUAGUUCCUCAUCCAAAACCUUACAAUUUACAAUGGAUUAAUGAGAAUGGAGAACUACGUGUAGACAAACAAGUGGAAAUCAAGUUUUCUAUAGGUAACUACAAAGACAAAGUUUUAUGUGACGUAGUACCUAUGGAAGCUUGCCACAUCUUAUUAGGUAGACCAUGGCAAUUUUAUAAGAAAACCUUGCAUGAUGGUCUAACUAACGAGAUUUCCUUCAUCCACAAGCACACAAAGUUUGUACUUAGCCUUUUACCACAUUCCCAAGUGGUAAAAGACCAAAUACAAAUGAAACAUAAAAGGGAUGAAGAGAAAAUAGAAAAAGAGAAAACUUUUGGGAAACAAAAGGCGUGGGAGAAGAGUGUUCCUUCCCACAAGGUCAUUCAACAAGACAAGCACAUUGAAAAUACCCUUGCAAACAUGCUUCUUGCUGAACAACCUAGCCUUCCCUCUUGUAAAGGAACAUGUACCGAUCAGGUAGUCGGAAGUGAUGACGUGGCGAUAAUAUAGGCGUGUUGAGCGGAACACCUGGCUGACGGAAGGGAAGCACAUCGGGAAGUUUGUGUAGUCGCCAAUUGUUAGCUUGGCGUUCUCCGAUCUCUGGUAUGUAUGACCGGUGGUCACCAGGCUCGCGUCAUAGUCGCCGUAUGUGAGUUUUAGGCGACCAAGUGGUUAGAGACUGCCGAAAGGGGCACAUCGCCGAAAGAUCAAGAAGGCUUGCUUAAAGCUUUCAUGAAGUACGAGCACGAAGGAUGAAGUUAUCAGAUGAUCAUUCCCUAGCCAGAGGUCGAGGCGAGGGAACAGUUUACCAAAGCAUGCACGAUGCGCAAGUGAAGCAGAUCGUGAUAGCGGCAGGCGAGACCACAGAGAAGGUGUGCAUGGUGGCACCCCGUACUCGCCACUUAGAAGAGAUCGCGCUCCAANNNNNNNNNNNNNNNNNNNNNNNNNNNNNNNNNNNNNNNNNNNNNNNNNNNNNNNNNNNNNNNNNNNNNNNNNNNNNNNNNNNNNNNNNNNNNNNNNNNNAGUAGAGGUGACGCUCAAGUAGAAGGUGGCUCCAGAUGGUGACACGUGUACAGCUGGAUGCGAGCCACGUGUCCAGAGGUGUAACCAUCAGGAGAGAGAAAAUGCACAGGUAUAUAAGGAACUCUAACGAACUUCUGAGGUACGCGCGUUUAGAACACUUCUUUACGCUUUGAGAACACUUGAGUACGCUGAGAGAGCACUUGCACGGUUCCUUGAGUUUAGCUUUUCUCUCUUAGUAUUUGGUGAUUUCGUCACUGACUUGAGCGUCGGAGCGCGAUCGGCCGCAGUGGCGCCACUCCGUUUCUUUCAGGUUCUUGCGAGGAAUUGAGGCUUGAAGGACAAAAGCUAACGUGGUGCGGAGCUGAUCGAGAGAAGAUACCUUUGACGUGGCAAGACUCUUGCACUCGAGUCAACCGGCAGGAUCAUCAGGCGCCCACCGUGGGGCCGUGUAAAGCGUGUCCCAUCCACAGAGUGAGUUCUUGAAGUUUCUACGGUUCUUGUGUGGUUGUGUGCUGGUGCAACCAUUUUCGGCGUUUUCCACCGUUCGUUUGAGUUUUCAUUCGGUGUAUCGGCGUUUUUCAGCGUUCGUUCGAAGUUUUGAUCGGUAGUUUGAAGUUUUCCACCGUUUGUUCGAGUUUUGUUCGGCGAAUUGAAGUUUUUCUCCUUUCGUUUGAGUUCUUGUUUGGUGAGUUGAAGUUUUUCGGUGUUUGUGCGAGUUUCAAUCGGUGAAUUGAAGUCUUUACCGUUCGUUCGUGUUUCUGACCGGUGAAUCGGGAGUUCUGGUGGAGAAGCGUUAGUUUCGUGUCAAGGUUGCAAGUUUCUGUGGAGGUUUUUGCUGUUGUGAUUGCGUUCUUGGAAGUUCUUUUGAGUUUACGAAGUUUUGACCGAUUGAUUGCUGGAUCGAUCCUUUCGCUGGUGAAGGUUUUGUUCGCUGAAGUUUGAUUUUUGCUGAUUUUUUAUGAGAAAGAUGAGAAGCACAUGUUCAAGUCCCGUUGUGCCAGCUGCUGCAGAAGGCGCCAUGACCAUGGCGCAGAUGAUGGAGAUCAUGCGUGCGUUGCAGGCAAAUGUGGAAGUAUCGCGCGUAGAGCAAGCGAAGAUGCACGAAGACCUGGUCGCCUCUCAGGCCAGGAAUGAGGAGCUCAGCAAGGUCACGGAGGAAUUGCGUCAAGCUCUUCAGGAGCAUAGAGGACGCACAAUUGUUGAAGAAGUUGCGCCGUCAUCGCCACCGCGCGUUUUCCCAAUGCCGUUUGCUCAGGCGAUCACGGACACGCCGAUCCCUGCGAGCGUGGUACCUGUGAAAGCCUCUUUCACCGGCGUGGAGGAUCCUGAAGCACAUCUCACUACGUUCCACACGCAGAUGAUGCUGUCAGGAGGCUCAGAUGCUGUCUAUUGCAAGAUGUUUGUGAGCACGCUCCAGGGAACAACGUUGGAAUGGUUUGUUAGCUUGCCUACAGGUCACAUAACCAAUUUCCAGUAGUUUUCGAAGCUUUUCGUCGACCAGUACAUUGUGAACAAGGCGCCACCUAGGGUGUCUUAUGACCUGUUCGAUGUGAGGCAGUACCAGGGAGAGUCCCUCAGGGACUAUUUGAAUCGUUUUGGAGCACAGAUGGUCCGCUCGCCUGCCAAAGACAAGGAGAUGUUGGUAUACGCCUUCAAAAAGGGCGUGCUGCUGGGACCUUUCUGUGAGGCGCUGAUUAGAGCUCACCUCGCCACGUUUGCUGAAGUUAGGCGACUUGCUGUGGCCCACAUCGCCGACGAAAGUGAAGUCGCCGAAAAGAGAGGGAGCGUGGCACCUACUAGGCCACGGGCCCAGACUAGAAUCCAGCCGCAGAGGGUGCUGGAAACGAUGGCGGCUAAGAAGGAUCAGAGGACUCGCCAUCCUUACAAUCCAAAGAAAAACAAGGGAAGGGGCCCAGGGGGCCCCAGGGAGUUCAAUCGCCCACCAAGGUACAAGUUUGUCAUGGGGUUGGCGGAUCUGAUCGCCAUUCCCAAAAUAGCAGCCAGGCUUAAAGCGCUUGAGAAAGUUGGCGACAAGGUGUUAGGACCAAAGCCAAACGCCUGGUGUGAGUUCCACUAGAGUUUUGGUCACACCCUUGACUCGUGUUUGGCCCUGGGCUACCAGCUCGACGACUUGGUCAAGAGCGGUUUCCUGAAUGAUUACCUGCUGGACAAGAGGACGGGGGGUGCGUCGAGCUCUCAGCCGGCGAGCGGUGAAGGCCAGCAGCAUGAAGUGCCCACCUAUGGUGAAAUCCACACCAUCGCUGGAGGCUUCUCAGGUGGUGGAUGCACUGCAUCACAGCGAAAGAAGUAUGCAAGGUCUGUGAUGGCAGUGGAUGUUUUCGAAGAUCACUCGCCAGAUGUGGACAUUACGUUCACAAAGGAGGAUCUCAGGGACGUUGUGCCUCACGACAACGAUCCCAUAGUUGUCUCGCUAGUCACGGCGGGAAGGAAGGUCCAUCGGGUGCUGGUGGACCAAGGAAGCUCGACAGAUGUGAUGUUCUGGCCGACUUUCACCAAGUUGCAACUACCCCUUGACCAGCUAAGACCCUAUGGAGGAUGCUUAUAUGGGUUCGCUGGCGAUCAGGUGGAGGUCAGGGGGUACAUUGAGCUGAGAACAACGUUCACGGAUGGGGUGGCUUCGAGGACGGAGAAGAUCAAGUACCUCGUUGUGAACGCCCCCUCAGCGUAUAACAUUCUGUUGGGAAGGCCAACCCUCAACAGAGUAGGAGCUGUGCCCUCAACCAGGCACAUGAAGGUCAAGUUACCAUCAAUGGAGGGGGUGGUGAUCACCAUCAGAUCUGACCAGAAGGAGGCGAAGAAGUGCUAUGAAAAUAGCCUCAAGAAUAAAAGGUCAGUAAGUUACAUCACCACGACGCCGCCUCCCGGUGUGAAGCCUAGGCCAACAGAAUGGCGAGUUGUUGAUGCGGCGAUGGAAGUGGCCGCCGGAGGCGAUGUCACCAUGGUAGACGCUGAAGUUGAGGGAAAGAGCGCCAGACGGGAAGAAGAAGCGAGAAAUCGCCCAGAGGAAGCGAGGGAGUCGGGAAUCGCCAGGGCGGUGAUCGCAAUGGAAACCAGACCCAAACCCGUCGAGGAGUGGCUCGAGAGGGAGAUCGGGGGCAAGGUCUUCAAGUUGGGAAGAUCUUUGGAGGGUGAGCUCCAAGACCAGAUCGCCAAGGUGAUCGAACGACAUCUGGAUGCUUUUGCAUGGUCUGCUUCAAACAUGCCGGGAAUCGACCCCGAUUUCCUGUGUCACCAUUUAGCGAUGGACACACAGGUCAGACCAGUGCGACAGAGAAGAAGGAAGUUUAAUGAGGAGAGGCGACAGGCGAUUAGGGAUGAAACGCAGAAGCUCCUCGCCGCAGGCCAUAUCAGGGAGGUCCAGUACCCUGAAUGGUUAGCUAAUGUCGUACUGGUGAAGAAGGGCAACGGGAAGUGGCGCAUGUGCGUUGACUUCAUAGACUUGAACAAGGCUUGUCCAAAGGAUUCAUACCCUUUGCCAAGCAUAGAUACCCUGGUCGACAGCGCAGCAGGGUGCAAGUUGCUGAGUUUUCUGGACGCCUUCUCGGGGUACAACCAGAUAAAGAUGCAUCCCAUGGAUGAAGAGAAAACUGCCUUCAUGACUGAGAGAUCGUGCUACUGUUACAAGGUGAUGCCCUUCGAGCUGAAGAACGCGGGGGCCACGUACCAAAGGCUGAUGGAUAAGGUACUUGCACCGAUGCUGGGAAGGAAUGUGCAAGCGUACGUAGAUGAUAUGGUCGUGACCUCGUUAGAGAAAAGCAAGCACAUCUCAGAUCUGGAGGAGCUGUUUACCACGAUUGCCAAGUUCAGAUUAAAGCUAAACCCCGAGAAAUGCAUUUUUGGUGUGGAGGCGGGAAAGUUCUUAGGUUUCCUCUUAACUGAAAGGGGAAUAGAGGCAAACCCUGAUAAGUGUGCUGCCAUCUUGGCGAUGAGGAGCCCGGCUACCGUGAAGGAGGUGCAGCAGCUUACAGGUCGGAUGGCCGCCCUGUCUCGUUUCGUAUCAGCUAGUGGAGAGAAAGGCCAUUCGUACUUCCAAUGCUUGAGGCGAAACAACAAGUUUGUCUGGUCGAAGGAAUGCGAAGAAGCCUUCGUGAAGCUUAAAGAAUACCUGGCGAGCCUGCCGGUUUUGUGCAAAACCUCUGGUGGGAACCCUUCUCAGGUUGUAUUUUGCUGUAACUGAGAGGGCGGUGAGUGCGGUGCUCGCCCAAGAUCAAGAUCAGGCCCAGAAGCCUAUUUAUUUCGUCAGCAAGGUGUUGCAGGGCCCAGAAGUCAGGUAUCAGGCCUUGGAGAAAGCUGCGCUGGCUGUAGUAUUUUCGGCAAGGAGGUUGCGCCACUAUUUCCACAGUUUUACAGUGCUGGUGAUGACCGACCUGCCCAUCCAGAAAGUCUUGAAGAAGCUUGAUGUAGCUGGGAGAAUUGUGAAGUGGGCAGUGGAGCUGUCGGAGUUCGACAUCAAAUAUGGGCCUCGAGGACCGAUCAAGGGGCAGAUUUUCGCUGAUUUCAUGGUCGAGCUCUCGUCGGAAGCAGCACGAGUUGAGGGGUACGAUUUUCGCUGGGUGCUUUCGGUGGAUGGAUCGGGGCUGGAGUCAUUCUAGAAGGGCCCAACGGCGUGCUGAUAGAACAGUCCCAGAGGUUUGCCUUUAAAGCUAGCAACAAUCAAGCAGAAUAUGAGGCGUUGAUCGCCGGAAUCUUGUUGGCUAAGGAGAUGGGGGCUAGGGUGUUGAUGGCCAAGAAUGACUCAUUGUUAGUCACGGGACAAGUAACAGGCGAGUUCCAGGCCAAAGAUCCACAAAUGGCGGCUUACUUGGAGUAUGUGCAGGAGUUGAAGAGUUCCUUUGUCUCAUUUGAAGUAGUGCAUGUGCCCAGAGAGCAAAAUGCUCGAGCUGACUUACUAGCCAAGCUCGCCAGUUCGGGCAAGGGGGGUAGGCAGAGGACAGUUAUCCAAGAAACUCUGAAGACGUCUAGAGCGUUUGUGGCAGACCACCUGGUUCUUCAGAUAAGCAAGUCGACGGAGAAAGCGGCGAGGAGCCACAGGUCCUUGACCCAGGAGACCUUGAGAUCGCCGAGAAUAAGAGCAUGUCGGGGGGAAAGGGUGAACGNNNNNNNNNNNNNNNNNNNNNNNNNNNNNNNNNNNNNNNNNNNNNNNNNNNNNNNNNNNNNNNNNNNNNNNNNNNNNNNNNNNNNNNNNNNNNNNNNNNNGCAUAAGCCAGACACAUGGAUAACGCAAUACCAGCGCUGCCUGGCAGAUGGCCUUCUCCCGCUGGAUCCGACAGAGGCAAGGAAGAUAAAGAAGAACUCCAGCAAGUUCACCAUGAUCGAUGGCGAGCUGUACAGGUUUGGGUUUACACACCCACUCCUAGAAUGUGUGCACGGAGAAAAAUGCACUAGAAUUAUGGCCGAGCUCCAUGAAGGUAUAUGUGGGAGUCACGUCGGGGGUCGAGCUCUGGCUGCAAGAACUCUCCGUGCAGGUUAUUACUGGCCAACGAUGAGGGAAGACUGCAAGAGGUAUGCACAGUGUUGCAAACAAUGUCAGCAGCACGCCGAUUGGCACAAGGCGCCUCUAGAAGAGCUGAAGUCAAUUUACAGCCCUUGGCCGUUUCAUACUUGGGGAAUUGACAUUCUGGGACCUUUCCCAUUGGCGGUCAGGAAGAUGAAGUACUUGAUGGUGGCGAUUGAAUACUUCACCAAGUGGAUCGAAGCGGAGCCAGUAGCCCAGAUCACCGCACAUAAGAUCGAAGGUUUUGUGUGGAAGAAUCUCGUGUGCCAGUUUGGUGUGCCUAAGCGCCUGGUAUCGGACAACGGAACUCAGUUUGCAAGUCACCUGUUGAAGAAUCUAUGCGAAGAGGUGGGAAUACAACAGGUGUUUGCAUCCAUCGAGCACCCACAGACAAAUGGCCAAGUAGAGUCUGCCAAUCGGGUGUUGCUGAGAGGUUUAAAGAGAAGGCUAGAGAAAGCUAAGGGAUCGUGGGCUGAAGAGGUACCCCGCAUAGUUUGGGCGUACCAUACCACCGACCAGUCAGGAACUCACGAGACCCCGUUUAGCUUGGUUUAGGGAUGUGAUGCAAUGAUUCCAGUUGAAAUCCAGGAAAGCUCGCCGAGAUUCCAGAACUUUGUAGCAGAAGACUCAAAUGAAGAAAGAAGGUUGAAUCUGGAUUUACUGGAUGAGGUCAGGGAGGAGGCAAGAGUAAAAGUCGAGGCAGUAAAAAGGAGGAUUGAGCGAAGAUACAACUCCAGGGUAAUGCCAAGGCAGUUUAGAGAGGGCGACCUGGUGAUGAGGAAGGCCCAUCAGUACGAGAUGCAGAACAAGUUAUCGCCUAAGUGGACGGGACCGUUCAGAAUAACCGAGGUGCUCGGGAACGGCGCCUACCGCUUAGAGACGUUAGAAGGAGGGGCGAUUCCUCGCACCUGGAACGCCACACACCUCAAGUUAUAUUACAGUUAAAGCUUUGUAAGUAAAAACGAACAUGAAGAGAUUUACAAGCUUUCUGUUAAAACAGUUUUGAAGGGGGCACUCUUUUUUCCCUAAGGAGGGUUUUUAGUGAGGCCACCCAAUAAAGAAGAGUUUCCAAGCUUAAGUUUUUGAGUUUGCAUGCCUUUUAUGUUGAAAGUUUUUAGAAUCGAAAAAAAGACCUUAUCACUCGUGCAUGAUUUAAGGCAAGUUCAAAGUUAUAUCGCAUGCUAAGUUUUAAAUGUCCCCAUCGUUUUUCGGCGAUUGGCGGCAUCAGUUAAAAGUAUUAAAGUCACCAUCGUUUUUCAGCGAUUGGCGGCAUUAGUUAAAAGUUUUAAAGUCCCUAUCGUUUUUCGGCGAUUGGCGGCAUCAGUUAAAAGUUUUAAAGUCCCCAUCGUCUUUCGGCGAUUGGCGACAUCAGUUAAAAGUUUUAAAGUCCCCAUCGUCUUUCGGCGAUUGGCGGCACCAGUUAAAGUUUUUAAAGUCCCCAUCGUUUUUCGACGAUCGACGACAGUAGUUAAAGUUUUAAAGUCCUCAUCGUCUUUCGGCGAUCGGAGGCACCAGUGAUAAUUAAAGACCCCAACGCUCUCGUGCGUCUUGAGGCAAGAAAGAGAAAAAGUCCUCAGUGCAUCCAGGGGGGAGGAGAUGUACACCCUGGGCAAGUUGAGGCACCAGAAAAAGUCCUCCUCGACUUUGAGUGAGUGCAGGCAAGAAAAGGUCCUCCUCGACUUUGAGCGAGUGCAGGCAAGAAGAAGUCCUCCUCGCCUUUGAGCGAGUGCAGGCGAGAACAGAAGAAGUCCUCCUCGCCUUUGAGCGAGUGCAGGCGAGAACAGAUUGAAAGACCUCUCUGCACCAGCAGAUAGAGGCAAGAUUAAAGGUCCUCAGUGCAUCCAGGGGGGAGGAGAUGUACACCCUGGGCAAGUUGAGGCACCAGAAAAAGUCCUUCUCACCUCAGAGUGAGUUCAGGCAAGAUGAACUGAAAAGUCAGGGGUGUUCGUGACCUUAAACGGUGGGGAAGGAAGGAAAACGCCUUUCCCCCUUUAAGUGAAACAUCAAUAUUGACCUAGUAAGACCAGAGAAAGCUUCCACGCUUGUAGGCGGUGCAAAGACAGAUAAAAUCCUUCUCGUCUUGAACGAGUUCAGGUACGGCGUGAAGGGUGAAAGAAGUUAAAAAGAUAGCUAAGGUAGGUUCAAAGAGAACACCUCACUAUCCAGUUCAUUGCUCUUAAACUCAGGGAGGUAGAGAAGGAUCCGAGAGGCGCCUCUACCCCCCAGAUGAGGGAACAAUGGUCAAGUUAUGAAGGCAAGAGAGUUCACAUCGCCAGAACCCUACAGCGAGCAGAAGAAUUCCAGGUGAUGACAGGAAUAAGGGCUCACUUUGCUGGGCAGAUCAGGUAAACUGUAUUGUGAUACUAGUUUAAGUUAAAACCUGCUGCCUAGUAAGUAACUUAUGUUAAAGUUUGUUGCCUUAAGUUCACAAGUUAUAUUAAAUGUCAUCGCUUGAAAGUUAGUAGUUGCUCAAGUUCUACUUUGAGUUAACCGUUUGAUAAAUUGUUAUGGAGUUAACACUUUAUUCAAGUUUGAAGCAGUGUGUGAAAGCAAGUAAAAGUAAGAAGCAUUUAAAGAGAAGUAUCAGAGAACAGUAUUUCAACAGUAAAAGUUAUACAAGAAGUGGUUGUUCGAGUUUACAUAAACGAAAAUUACAAGCAAAAGAUGAGCGCCAAGUUUCAAAAACAAGAUGAUGGAGGGAGGCAGCUAGUCUUCAGAGGGCACGAUCUUCCCAUCCACCACCUCGUUGCAGAUUGAUACCAUGGAGAGGUCGAGCUCGGGGUAUUGGCAUGCAACCUGCUCCAGAGCGGCGUCGAACCCGGCGGUGAGGACUUGGGCAGUGCUUUGCUCGAGCUCUUGUGCUUGUUUCUUCAGCUCUUCCGUUUCUUCACGAGCUCGAGCUAGGUCCUCAGCAACCUUUUUGCCUUUGUCCCGAGCUUGGGCCAACUCUGCAGCAGUCUUUGUGGCCUCCUCUCGAGCUUUGGCGAGCUCAGCAAUGGCAUCAUCCCUCUCCUUUUCAACCUUCCCAAGGAGCACCUCCCGAUCCGCUGACCUUUUCUCAAGGUUUUCCAUCUUGGUCGCAUCCGCCUUCUUUGCAGCCUCCAAGUCCGCCACCUUGAGCCUGUAGGGGACAAGCUUGCUUUCCAAGUCGAUCUUCUCUUGGACUUGGAGGUGCAGUUUCUGGCGCAGUUCGGAGGCCUCCUUGUGCGUGCUCCUUAGCUCAGCAUCCAUGGCGUCCUCCAGCCUUGAGUGCUCCAACUCGGUCAUCAGCAGAUUGCACGAGAGUUUUUCAGCCUCAGUCCUUGUAAUCAGAUUCGAAUCCUUCAGCGCGGAGUUCUCAUCUUGGAGCUUCUUUAGUGCGUCCUCAACAGCUUUUGAUACUAUAGAGGGAAGAUCCUCCGCCAUCAUCUUCAGUUUAGCUGUGAAGGGCCCCAAGAUCUCUUCGAAGGAGGUUGGGAGGCUUGAGGUUGUUGCUGGUGGAGGUGCUGGAGGAGCUUGGUGCUGACUUUCACCACCACCCUCUUGGGUUUGAAGGGCAAGGGGGGCUUCUUGGCGUGGUGGUGAGGUCGGAGAUUCUAUUAUAAGUAUUGGCGAGUUGUGAGCACCCUCAUCUCCUCCUGGUGCGGCCCCAGCAAUAGAGGUGGUUGAAGGAGGACCCUCUCCAGCAGAUACGAACGGUGUGGAGGCGCUUGGAGGGUUCUCUAUGAAGUUAGGGUCGCUGCUUUCAACCACGGGGGGUGCGGCGGCUAAGGGCGUCGCUUGGACUGGUGGUUGUAGAGCUGGAGGUGAGGGCGGUGUUGGUGUUUGGAUUGCAGGUGGUGAAGAGGGGGCCACCCUUGUUCUCUUGGUAACAAGGCCAUCCUCGGUGGUUUCUUCAUCCUCCUCUUCUUCUUGCACCGCUUGAGGAGUUUUCCUUUUUGGUUUCCUUAAGAUCAGCUUUUUCCGUUGAGGGGCGGGUAGUACCCCGGAAGAGGUUGCACCUCGGGGCGGGGUUUUGCCUUGAGUAGCGGCGAUCGCCACCACCGGGUUAGGCACGGCUUGGGAGCCCGCCGCGAGUUUGUGGGAUCGGGUGAUCGCCCUCAGUUCUGCCAAUUUCUCUUUUCCCAGCAUGUUAUCUGCACAAGGUAAAGGAUAAGUGAGCAACCAAAACAGAAGCAGAAAAUACAAACAUAUUUACGUAGAGACAACACAAGCAAUACAUGGAUGAAAGAUCAGGGUCAACACAGAAUAAUGGUAUGCCAAAACAGAGUGGUGAAGAGGCUAAGUUAGUAUUAGCUCAAAGUAAAAGACUUGGUGUGGAGGUAGGAGCUAACCUAUGUGUAUUUCGAGUUGGCUCUCGAAAAACUCGUAGGGAAUGAUUGAAGCGGUGGGGAAGGUGAUGUUGGCGGCAGCUACACUCUUCCAAAAGAGGCAAAGGUCCUUGUCCAACUCCCCCAUGUUGUCAGGGCUCCUUGGUCUUCUGAAGCUGUCCUUAGAGUCCUUGUUCCCCUUAUGUACCCAAUACAAGGGGAAGCCGUCGAGCAAUGAGGGGUCUUGGUCAUUUUGGCACACCCUCACGAACUUCCCCUUCCAGUCUUUGUAAGACUGCUGGAAGAUUGAGAAGAUGGAUCUCCCAGCAAUCCCGUUCAAGCUGACCCAGAGGUGAUCUCCGGGGUUCUUUGCCUCAAACAGGAAGAGGAAGACGUCGAAUGAGGCCGGCAGCAACAGGUGCGCACACAGAAUUUGGAACGCCCUUAUAAACACCCAGCUGUUGGGAUGAAGCUGGGCGGGGGCGAUAUCGAGCUCGGUUAGCAGCUCUCUCUCGAAGCGGGUAAAAGGAAGCCUAAGCUUCACUUUCUUGAACAAAGUAGUGUAGAUAAAGCAGAACAACUCGCCGUUGUUCCCCUUAUCAUCCGCGCAGAUCGGUUCACCCGGGAAGCAGGGCAGCACGACCACUUUGCUAUCAUGCUCUUUAUGGAAGGAAAGGUCGGGCUGGUCUCCUUUCCGCAGUCGGUGCACGCCCAACUCAGUGUUUAUUGAGGAGGUCUCUUUUAGUAAGGUUUGGAUGGCCCAAAGGUAGAGUUCCUUGUAGUCUUGUGGAGGUAGGGAGGCUCCUCCGGCGACCGGCAGAGUUGCCUGAGUAGGAUUGGCGUGAGAAGAAGUAGGCCUCUCAGCCUGAGUAGAAGGAGCACCAGAGGCUCGUGGUGGAUUGCGCGCUGGUGGAGGAUUUGCCCCAGGGGCAACCCUACGCGCUUGGGGUGGAGGGUUUCGCGAUGAAGGAGGAGGGUUCGCGGUGGACUUCGUGUGAGUUAUCGCAGGAACUGCAAAGGAAAGAGAAAGGGAUGAAAUGACGAUACAAAGAACGACUCGAUUGAGGACGAAGAAGACAAAGCGAACGAAUAAGGGUUCGCUGGGAUAAACGUUAUGAAGGACGAAGCCCUAAGUUACGAGAAAAGGAGAAAAGGAAAGAAUAGCCCACAACGUAUGCUUCAGACAGAUAAUGGAUGAUGCAAACCGAUUAAAAUGCAGCAAAUAUCCAUAGAAGGAGUAAAAGGGUUACCUUUUUGUGAUCGGAUGAGCGUUGAAGAAAGUUGGAGAUUGAGAGAGACAAGAAGUUUCGUGGUUCGCAGAGAAAAUACUUAGAACGCUUGAGAGUGAAGAAAGAUGAUGGAACAGUGGAAGCGCAAACGACAGUUGAAGACGACCGUUGAUGAAGCCACAUGUCGAGUGAUGGAAAAAGAGGUUGGUGGAGCGUCAGGAAAGCAGAGAGUACGGACGUACGAAAAUCCGUACCAGCGCCACAUAGAUCGACGAUGACCUGACCUCUUAGUCUUUUCACUGGUCAAGUCUCAGCUUAAGACUGGGGGGCUUGUGUACCGAUCAGGUAGUCGGAAGUGAUGACGUGGCAGCAAGCGAUAAUAUAGGUGUGUUGAGCGGAACACCUGGCUAACGGAAGGGAAGCACAUCGGGAAGUUUGUGUAGUCGCCAAUUGUUAGCUUGGCGUUCUCCGAUCUCUGGUAUGUAUGACCGGUGGUCACCAGGCUCGCGUCAUAGUCGCCGUAUGUGAGUUUUAGGCAACCAAGUGGUUAUAGACCGCCGAAAGGGGCACAUCGCCGAAAGAUCAAGAAGGCUUGCUUAAAGCUUUCAUGAAGUACGAGCACGAAGGAUGAAGUUAUCAGAUGAUCAUUCCCUAACCAGAGGUCGAGGCGAGGGAACAGUUUACCAGAACAUGCACGAUGUGCAAGUGAAGCAGAUCGUGAUAGCGGCAGGCAAGACCACAGAGAAGGUGUGCAUGGUGGCACCCCGUACUCGCCACUUAGAAGAGAUCGCGCUCCAAGGAAGCUAUGCACCGAUUUACUCCUUGCAUGGGUAACUUAGUCGAAUAGCUUGAAGAGUAGAGGUGACGCUCAAGUAGAAGGUGGCUCCAGAUGGUGACACGUGUACAGCUGGAUGCGAGCCACGUGUCCAGAGGUGUAACCGUCAGGAGAGAGAAAAUGCACAGGUAUAUAAGGAACUCUAACGAACUUCUGAGGUACGCGCGUUUAGAACACUUCUUUACGCUUUGAGAACACUUGAGUACGCUGAGAGAGCACUUGCACGGUUCCUUGAGUUUAGCUUUUCUCUCUUAGUAUUUGGUGAUUUCGUCACUGACUUGAGCGUCGGAGCGCGAUCGGCCGCAGCGGCGCCACUCUGUUUCUUUCAGGUUCUUGCGAGGAAUUGAGGCUUGAAGGACAAAAGCUAACGUGGUGCGGAGCUGAUCGAGAGAAGAUACCUUUGACGUGGCUAGACUCUUGCACUCGAGUCAACCGGCAGGAUCAGAACACUUGCAAGCAUAAGCAAAAAAGAAGAGUCUUUAAAAGAAGCUUGCAUAGAUAAAGACUAUUUCUCAAAUGUGCUAGGAUAUCCCCAAGAGAAUGUCAAGUUAUCUAUAAGCAUCUACAAAAACAAUGUUUUGUGUGAAGUAGUGCCUAGAGCAACUUGUCAUGUCUUAUUGAGACAACCAUUGCCAAGUGUACAAAUUUUCAUAAACAAUGGUUGUACCAACGAGACUAUUUUUACACAUGAGAGAAAAAGUGUACAUGAAGGAGAACUCAUGGGCCAAAUUAGAGUUGAUAAAACCCUAGAGCUUUUAAAAGGAAAACUUUUGUCACCCAUGAGAAAAGAUGUUCAAAGACAUUACUUUAGGUACAAUUCUUGUUUUCAAACUACACCUAAGGCAAAGUCUCAAGAACUCUAUACUCCUUCACCUUUUGUAAAUGAUCCUUGGGAAGACACGCAUUUCAUAUUAGAGCUUCCUAGGACAACAAAAGGUUUUGAUUCGAUUUUCAUGGAUAAACUCUUCUCUAGAGAAGUGCUACAUCUUCAUGGUUUAUCCUCAAGCAUAGUGUUGGAUAGAGCUCCAAAUUUCGCAAACCAUGAUUUGAGGAUUCUCUUUGGAAAACUUGCAACUAAGUUGUACACUUUAAAUCCUCAAAGCCAUGGUCAAAAUACAUUUAAAAAUCUAGCUCUUCCUACCAUGCCUAGAAUAAUCAUAAAAGACAAACACAACUCUAGAGAUGAGCAUACAUACCAUAAAGUAGUUCACAAAGCUACUUAUAUUUCUACUUUUGAGGUCAUAUGUGGGCUAAAUCAUCUUUCUCCUUUUAAGUUGUUACCAUCCUCUAUAGGAUUUAUGCCUAAAGAGAAAGUAACCACAAAUGAACAUUUUCAAAUAAAUGAGAUGAUUAUAGAACACAUACAACCAUCAAAAGAGAAAUAUUGUGAAAAGUUGCCAAAAACAAAAGAAAAACAAAAAUGGCAACUUAGUGAAAUAAAUUUUCAAACUAACACCUCUACUUUAUUUGAUUUUCCGUAGGUACACGUUUGACCCGGGAGGGCAAUCCUAGUUCUCAAAGCAAGAGGCUGCUAUCCGAGAUCCAGUCUGAAGAUCUGAGGAUAGAUCUUCUCAAGAAGGAGAAGAUGAUGGACACCAUCCAGCCACAACCAUUCCCCUAGGACACAAAAGCAUUGGAUUUGAGGACAAAUCCUUUUCAAGAGGGAGGGGAUGAUGGAAGAGGGCCAAGCACAACCUUUCAUGAAAGGCAAGAGCCAAGUCAAGAACGUCCAAGAUCAAGCUAGGAGCGUCUAAGACCAAGCUAGGAGCGUCUAAGAAAAGCUAGGAGCGUCGAGGACAAGAAGACCAAGCUAGGAGCGUCUAGGACAAGCUAGGAGUGUCUAGGACAAGAAGACUUGGAUCAAGCUAUGAAUGGGAGAGUGGCAUACUAACACAUAUUCCGUGAAGGCCCAACAAGUGUAGUUUAGCUUUAAUUGGGGUGUAAAUAGCAUAGCCAUGUGGACAAAUGUUUAUUUUUCUGCACAUUAGAAUUAAGGAGGAGUUAACCUUGAUUAGUUAAAGGUUUCUAGAAGCCUUCACUAAUCAAGGGACUGUUUUAUGAAGCCAUGUGCACCCAUGUGCUCCAUGUGCCCAUGUGCCUCCACAUUUCCAUUUCAUUUUGCUUACAUUUCAUGUGCACUUAGCUUAACAUUU
rnacentral:lncRNA from 1 species